UUGCUGCUUCAGAAGCCGCUGAUGAACUUGACAUCCCCAAAUAAUCCAAAAUGUUCCCGCUGAGGCCCUGGGUGCGGGUUGCCCAGGGACAUCUGUUGCUAAGCAACCAAUGACAUCACCACAGCAACAAUUCUCAGCCUCAUCAGAAGACAGACAGAAAGUGUGAGAGAAAUCGGGAGAAGGACGAAGCGUCUGGCUCUGAACUGUGUGUCUGAUGGAAAAACUCCACUCCUCCCAUCCUGUCUGUAACUAUGUGCCUGACUAUGAUGAGCAUGGCAGCAUGUGCACUGUUGUCAUGGCUGGCGGGCAGGUUCUUCUGGAUUAGAGGAGAAGACGAAAGAGGAGACGGAGGAGGACAUCUGGACAGAAUGGUGAGUGAGAGAAAAAGGAGGGGAUACUAUUUGGUGCAAACUAGAAUUCAGUCACAUGGUAGAUAGUGGACAUUUGUGAUAGUGAUUUGUGUAUUCUUUGUCUUAAGAUAGCGUGAGGUGGAUAUUGUCCAAUCGCAGAGGAUUGGGUUUUGUCCACCUGCUCAUGUGAAUUCAGGCCCACAUGGCUCAUUGUUACUGGUGAGAUAACCACAUAAUUAGUCAGCACUCAUGAGAUCACACUGGAUCCGCUUUUGUUCCCUCCCUCGCGCUUUCUGUUCUGCUGAAAAGAGCAGCGCUGCUGGUCACCAGCAUAUGUUGUGUUUUGGAUGCCGGUGUGUUGGUGUCCCUGCCAGGAUUCUGAAAGUCAUUUAUUAGGAGGUUUAUUACAUUGUGGUUUUAUUCACUACAUGGUUCCGGUUCCUUUAAUCUACUUUAAAUAAUUAUUUUAGUAAUUCUUAGAGGAAGAAAGAAUAGAAAAUGUAAUGAAAACAAUUCUUGCAUUGCAUUAAGAACACUUAGAAGUCAAUUAAAGAUAAUUUAAAAUUUUGGCAGAGCAUUACUCACAAAUCAGAAAUAAUAACUAUAUAGUUACAAAAAAAUAAACAUACAUUUAUUGUUCCGUGUCCUGGAUUGCAGUGAUAUAUUCUGGUCUACUUUCUCAGGUUUGGCUCCAGUAUAUUGAAUAAAUGCAAAAAGACUAAGAGACCAUGACUAUAAAUAUUCAAUAACGUGUUUCCACCAAAGAAUUUUUAGCCAGCUGAAAAAAAUGACAGGCACUCUUCUUUAAACGACCAGCUAAUGGCGCUUGAAAACGCUUUGGUGGUACAUCGUUUUUCCAGCUGAGAUGAUGGUUGCUAUGAUUUGGAAUAUCCACGUCAUCAACGUAUAUCUCAUUUUUAAGAAUUUUUCUAAAUAUAAAAAAGCAGUAACCAGUAAUACUGACUUCUCCAAUGUUGUAGGCAGUCGUUGUGUAGGAUGGUUGGUCUGUAUUUGUCCCGCCCCUCUAUUUAUGGCUCGUACCAACUUUACAUCAAAAUGGCUUUACGAAAGCUAUUUUGAAAGUUUAUGCCAAAACGCCUUUAUGAAUGACUUACACAAAAAUUCGUUCAGCUUGUGUUUCAUGAAUGAGGCCUAUUGUAUUUAGCUAACUGUAGAUAACUUUAUCUCUGUUAAAUGGAGUUACAGGUAGCUGAAUUUUAGAGUUCCUUUUUUGAUAUACUUAAAUGUCUUAAAGGUCUUAAAUGUUGUCCAAAACUCGUAAGACCUUUGUUCAUCUUAGGAACACAAAUUACAAUAUAUUUGUUGAAAUCUGAGAGC